rnacentral:rRNA from 1 species
GAAAAGAAACCAACAGGGAUUGCCUUAGUAGCGGCGAGUGAAGCGGCAAAAGCUCAAAUUUGAAAUCUGGCUCUUUCAGAGUCCGAGUUGUAAUUUGAAGAAGGUAUCUUUGGGUCUGGCUCUUGUCUAUGUUUCUUGGAACAGAACGUCACAGAGGGUGAGAAUCCCGUGCGAUGAGAUGAUCCAGGCCUAUGUAAAGUUCCUUCGAAGAGUCGAGUUGUUUGGGAAUGCAGCUCUAAGUGGGUGGUAAAUUCCAUCUAAAGCUAAAUAUUGGCGAGAGACCGAUAGCGAACAAGUACAGUGAUGGAAAGAUGAAAAGAACUUUGAAAAGAGAGUGAAAAAGUACGUGAAAUUGUUGAAAGGGAAGGGCUUGAGAUCAGACUUGGUAUUUUGUAUGUUACUUCUUCGGGGGUGGCCUCUACAGUUUAUCGGGCCAGCAUCAGUUUGGGCGGUAGGAGAAUUGCGUUGGAAUGUGGCACGGCUUCGGUUGUGUGUUAUAGCCUUCGUCGAUACUGCCAGCCUAGACUGAGGACUGCGGUUUAUACCUAGGAUGUUGGCAUAAUGAUCUUAAGUCGCCCGU